rnacentral:rRNA from 1 species
AACGAACGCUGGCGGCAUGCCUAACACAUGCCAGUCGAACGAGACCUUCGGGUCUAGUGGCGCACGGGUGCGUAACGCGUGGGAACCUGCCCUUAGGUUCGGAAUAACUCCCCGAAAGGGGUGCUAAUACCGGAUAAUGUCUUCGGACCAAAGAUUUAUCGCCUUUGGAUGGGCCCGCGUUGGAUUAGCUAGUUGGUAGGGUAAAAGCCUACCAAGGCGACGAUCCAUAGCUGGUCUGAGAGGAUGAUCAGCCACACUGGGACUGAGACACGGCCCAGACUCCUACGGGAGGCAGCAGUGGGGAAUAUUGGACAAUGGGCGAAAGCCUGAUCCAGCAAUGCCGCGUGAGUGAUGAAGGCCUUAGGGUUGUAAAGCUCUUUUAACCGGAAUGAUAAUGACAGUACCGGGAGAAUAAGCUCCGGCUAACUCCGUG